rfam:Gorilla gorilla gorilla genomic chromosome, chr11, whole genome shotgun sequence
GCCAGCCACAGUGCUGUGCACCUGUAGACUAAGCUACUCCGGAGGUGGGGCAGGAGGAUUGCUUGAGCCCAGGAGAUCUGUGCUGUAGUGCACUAUGCCAAUGGGAUGUCUGCACUAAAUACAACAUCAAUAUGGUGACCUCCCAGGAACAGAGGACCAGCAGGAUGCCUAUGGAGGGGUGAUCCAGCCUGGGUCAGAAACAGAGCAGGAAAAAACUUCCAUGCUGAUCAGCAGUGGGAUCACAUCUGUGAAUAGCUACUGCCAGUCUGGACAACAUAGAAAGACCCUAUCUCUA